rnacentral:rRNA from 1 species
UACCAGACUCCUACGGGAGGCAGCAGUGAGGAGUAUUGGUCAAUGGGCGAGAGCCUGAACCAGCCAAGUCGCGUGAGGGAAGACGGUCCUAUGGAUUGUAAACCUCUUUUGCCGGGGAGCAAAAAGCGGUACGCGUACCGCAUCGAGAGUGCCCGGAGAAAAAGCAUCGGCUAACUCCGUGCCAGCAGCCGCGGUAAUACGGAGGAUGCGAGCGUUAUCCGGAUUUAUUGGGUUUAAAGGGUGCGCAGGCGGCGAGUUAAGUCAGCGGUAAAAAUUCGGGGCUCAACCCCGUCCGGCCGUUGAAACUGGGGGCCUUGAGUGGGCGAGAAGAAGGCGGAAUGCGUGGUGUAGCGGUGAAAUGCAUAGAUAUUGCGCAGAACUCCGAUUGCGAAGGCAGCAUACCGGCGGCCAACUGACGCUGAAGCACGAAGGCGUGGGUAUCGAACAGGAUUAGAUACCCUCGUA